rnacentral:rRNA from 1 species
UAGCUAGUUGGUGGGGUAAGGGCCUACCAAGGCGACGAUCGGUAGCCGGUCUGAGAGGAUGACCAGCCACACUGGAACUGAGACACGGUCCAGACUCCUACGGGAGGCAGCAGUGGGGAAUAUUGGACAAUGGGGGCAACCCUGAUCCAGCAAUGCCGCGUGUGUGAAGAAGGCCUGAGGGUUGUAAAGCACUUUCAGUGGGGAGGAGGGUUGAUAGGUUAAGAGCUAAUUAACUGGACGUUACCCACAGAAGAAGCACCGGCUAACUCCGUGCCAGCAGCCGCGGUAAUACGGAGGGUGCGAGCGUUAAUCGGAAUUACUGGGCGUAAAGGGUGCGUAGGUGGUUGAUUAAGUUAUCUGUGAAAUUCCUGGGCUUAACCUGGGACGGUCAGAUAAUACUGGUUGACUCGAGUAUGGGAGAGGGUAGUGGAAUUUCCGGUGUAGCGGUGAAAUGCGUAGAGAUCGGAAGGAACACCAGUGGCGAAGGCGGCUACCUGGCCUAAUACUGACACUGAGGCACGAAAGCGUGGGGAGCAAACAGGAUUAGAUACCCUGGUAGUCCACGCUGUAAACGAUGUCAACUAGCUGUUGGUUAUAUGAAAAUAAUUAGUGGCGC